UCUCAAAUCAGGUAGGACUACCCGCUGAACUUAAGCAUAUCAAUAAGCGGAGGAAAAGAAACUAACAAGGAUUCCCCUAGUAACUGCGAGUGAAGCGGGAAGAGCUCAAAUUUAAAAUCUGGCAGCUCUUGUGGUUGUCCGAGUUGUAAUCUAGAGAAGUGCUAUCCGCGCUGGACCGUGUACAAGUCUCCUGGAAUGGAGCGUCACAGAGGGUGAGAAUCCCGUCUUUGACACGGACCCCCAGGGCUUAUGUGAUGCGCUCUCAAAGAGUCGAGUUGUUUGGGAAUGCAGCUCUAAAUGGGUGGUAAAUUCCAUCUAAAGCUAAAUAUUGGCGAGAGACCGAUAGCGAACAAGUACCGUGAGGGAAAGAUGAAAAGAACUUUGGAAAGAGAGUUAAACAGUACGUGAAAUUGUUGAAAGGGAAACGCUUGAAGUCAGUCGCGUUGGCCAGGGAUCAACCUUGCUCUUUUGCUUGGUGUACUUCCUGGCUCAACGGGUCAGCAUCAAUUUUGACCGGUGGAUAAAGGUCAGGGGAAUGUGGCAUCUUCGGAUGUGUUAUAGCCCUUGGUCGCAUACAUCGGUUGGGAUUGAGGAACUCAGCACGCCGCAAGGCCGGGUCUCUGACCACGCUUCGGUCUUAGGAUGAUGGC
rnacentral:rRNA from 1 species